AUUGAACGCUGGCGGCAGGCUUAACACAUGCAAGUCGAGCGGGCGUAGCAAUACGUCAGCGGCAGACGGGUGAGUAACACGUGGGAACGUACCUUUUGGUUCGGAACAACACAGGGAAACUUGUGCUAAUACCGAAUAAGCCCUUACGGGGAAAGAUUUAUCGCCGAAAGAUCGGCCCGCGUCUGAUUAGCUUGUUGGUGAGGUAACGGCUCACCAAGGCGACGAUCAGUAGCNGGUCUGAGAGGAUGAUCAGCCACACUGGGACUGAGACACGGCCCAGACUCCUACGGGAGGCAGCAGUGGGGAAUAUU
rnacentral:rRNA from 1 species